UGUUCCCACCCGUAAAAGGGAAAAGCUAGAGAGAGAGAGAGAGAGAGAGAGAAAGCAAGAGGGUUCGCGUGGAAAAAGGUGGGAUAGAAAAGCUUGUUCUUAAACUUAAAAGUACGUGAAACGGUGCGGCCCUAACAAAUAAUGGAGAAAAGAACUGGCUAUGGCCAUACACACUGGCACCCUGUAGGUUUGACGUACGGAACAAGACAUACCAAAAACGCCACAUUCUGCCCGGACUAUUUGGCAAUACAUUGCAAGUUCCUAGAUAUCCGCCUGUAACCGGCUAUUGAGGUCGGGGUCGAACAACAGAAAUAGCGACCAGCUUGAAAAAGGCUCAACAGAAUUUUUUAGAAGUAAAAACACCGGCCGACGACUCCGAACUGUACGAAUCUGAUCGACGAGUUCCUAUGUCAGAGACGGAUUUGAAACAUCAAAAGGAAACUCAGCAAAGUGUAGAGAACGAGGCAAGUGUCAGCUUCAUCUUGUCUAAUGGUUCUUUCACGAAACAGCACAAUUCUACCAGCUACAGGAUGCUACGGGGUAAUUAUUUGCACGUGUUAACUUAGAGCCGGACGAUUGGCGAAGGCACCUGCCAUCGAGGAUAGAGGGAAUGGAGCCAGGCGCAGCGGUUCAGUUGGACAUGGGGACCGCUAUGAGUACGCAUAACCUGGACGAUUGCUCCUUCUACGGC